rnacentral:rRNA from 1 species
CAAUAGCGUAUAUUAAAGUUGUUGCGGUUAAAAAGCUCGUAGUUGGAUUUCUGCCGAGGACGACCGGUCCGCCCUCUGGGUGAGCAUCUGGAUCGGCCUGGGCAUCCUCUUGGGGAACGUAGCUGCACUUGACUGUGUGGUGCGGUAUCCAGGACUUUUACUUUGAGGAAAUUAGAGUGUUUCAAGCAGGCUUCCGCCUUGAAUACAUUAGCAUGGAAUAAUACUAUAGGAUCUCGGUUCUAUUUUGUUGGUUUCUAGACCCGGGGUAAUGAUUAAUAGGGACAAUUGGGGGCGAUUUGUUAUCAACACGUCAGAGGUGGAAUUCUUGGAUUGUGUUGCGACAAACUAACUGCGAAAGCAUUUGCCAAGGAUGUUUUCUAUUGAUCAAGAACGAAAGU